rnacentral:tRNA from 1 species
GAGGGGAUAGCUCAGUGGUAGGGCGCCUGCUUAGCAUGCACGGGGUCCUGGGUUCAAUCCCUGGCACCUCC